rnacentral:rRNA from 1 species
UACGGGGGGAGCAAGCGUUGUUCGGAUUUACUGGGCGUAAAGGGCGCGUAGGCGGUCAGCACAAGUCAGUUGUGAAAUCUCCGGGCUUAACUCGGAAAGGUCAACUGAUACUGUGCGACUAGAGUGCAGAAGGGGGCAACUGGAAUUCUUGGUGUAGCGGUGAAAUGCGUAGAUAUCAAGAGGAACACCUGCGGCGAAGGCGGGUUGCUGGGCUGACACUGACGCUGAAGCGCGAAAGCCAGGGGAGCGAACGGG